UACGUAGGCAGCGAGCGUUGUUCGGAGUUACUGGGCGUAAAGGGUGUGUAGGCGGUUGGUUAAGUUUGGUGUGAAAUAUCCCGGCUCAACCGGGAGGGUGCACUUUAGACUGAUGAGCUUGAGGUCGGUAGAGGGGGGUGGAAUUGCUGGUGUAGCGGUGAAAUGCGUAGAGAUCAGCAGGAACACCCGUGGCGAAGGCGGCCCCCUGGGCCGUACCUGACGCUGAGGCGCGAAGGCUAGGGGAGCGAACGGG
rnacentral:rRNA from 1 species